UACCUAAACUAUCCUAGUUUCAUAUACCAAUUCAUAUAUGAUCUGCACAAGACUAUCUUAGAACCAGUUUGUAACAACCCGCCCCGUGGGACCCAGGCUCACAGCGCUGCAGCGCACCGACCCCAACCCCUCCAUUAUGGGAACUACCUGCCCCAUAAUUAGGUUGUUGGUGAGAUUCGAACCCCCGACCUCACCCUUUAACAGCCUUCCCACAAGACAAGCUGUCACCAAUUGACCCCAAACUAUCCCCAAAGGCCAUUUUGUCUUUCUUUAAAAGAGAAAGAAAGAAAGAAAGAAAGAAAGAAAGAGAAAGAGAGAGAGAGAGAGGAAGAAGAGGAAGGGAGAAAGCUUACCUGAGUUGCCACCGGAGCCACCGCGCCUCGAGACCACGUUGAGCUCGUCACCACCGUCCGCUGCAGCUUAGAAUCGCCGGAAACCGCCAUGCAACCAUCAUCGUGUUCCUCUCGACGAGACGAAGCCGUAGCCGCCGACCGCGCCUCAAUCGGAGUCCGGACGAAGCCGUACGCGCCCCC